AUGCGUAUGUUGAGAUGGAUGUGUGGCCACACGAGGAAGGAUCGAGUCCGGAAUGAUGAUAUACGAGAUAGAGUUGGUGUAGCACCAAUUGAGGAGAAGCUUGUCCAACAUCGUUUGAGAUGGUUUGGGCAUAUUCAGCGCAGGCCUCCAGAAGCUCCAGUGCAUAGCGGACGGCUAAAGCGUGUGGAGAAUGUCAAGAGAGGGCGGGGUCGACCGAUUUUGACAUGGGAGGAGUCCGUUAAGAGAGACCUGAAGGAUUGGAGUAUCGACAAAGAGAUAGCUAUGGACAGGGGUGCGUGGAAGCUUGCUAUCCAUGUGCCAGAGCCAUGA
rnacentral:rRNA from 1 species